rnacentral:rRNA from 1 species
UUCUAGAGUCAUAUAACCUUGAAUACAUGAUCUCAUCUGAUCUUAAAAGCUAAGCAGGGUUAGGCCUGAUUAGUACUUGCAUGGGAAACCUCUGAGGAAUACUGGGUGCUGUGGGUU